CUGGGCCCAGGUGCAGUUCACACCCCCAGGCUGCCUCUGUGGUCACCUUUCUCCACCCGUUUCCUUACCUGGGACGCAGCACAGGUAAGGGGCGUGGGAGAGAAGGUACUGCGGUCGCCUUGCCGGUGUAUCUGGCUGCAGGGUCUGCUGCUGCUCAGGAGACGCUGGUUCGGCCCGGGGCGUCCGCACACUCAGCUCUAGCACAAGAGCCGCAUGGGGGUCGCUCUCCAGAGGCACCUCGUGGGGCUGGGUAUGCGGAGGCCGUGGCUCUCGGAGGACGACCGGGCAGGUGACCUUGCUGUGCUCAGGCAGGACGCAGCUCCCCGACCUGCAGGCCUUGCGGGCUGGAGCACAGGCUCUGCGCCUGUUUGGGAUGCAGCGUGGGCCCGGGGCGGCCCCCUGGGCCAACUGCCGGGACUCCCGGAUUCAGAGGCGUGUCCACCAGGGCCAGUGUGGCUGCGUGUGGGGCCCAUUGGUUGGGCGACUGAGAAGUCCUGCUGGUGCUGACCUCACGCUCUGGCGGUGCCGGACGCCCUGGUGCCAGCCGGUGACAUGUUGUCCUGGAGCAGUGAGGCGGUGCUGUCCUGAGACCCGAAGAGUCGUGCGGUUCUGAGGGGCCUGGCCGGAGCCCCAGGGGUGCAUCUGCGUGGCCUGGGCGGCCCUGGCACUGUGUGCUCAGCUGCCCCGCAGGCUCGCAGAGCCCCCUGAAAGGGCAAGGUUGCUGGGCAGACGGAAUGCCACAGACGCCCCUUGUGUCCGUUCACAGAAGAGCCGGUUUACCGGAGGCGGAGAUAAACACGCCACAACAGGAAGGUUUACAUUUUUAGAAUUUGCGGGUCACCAGCUUCUAUUUAGAACAUUGUUUUCCCUUUCUGGCUGAUAAAGUGUUUGUUAGAAAACUACGUAAGCUGGCUUAGACUGCAUUCUAAAGAUCUGAAACCCAGACGCGAAGCCUCCCUUUCCUGGAGUGGCCUCCUCGUAAAGUCACAGUUCACGGGGCUUCCUUCUCAGGCACUGGCUCUGGCAGGGCCGUGGGGCUCGGGGGCCAGGGCAGAGCCCCUGCACGCCACCCCGCAAAGCUCUAGGCGGGCUUUGAACCUUAUCACUGGGACAAAGACUCGGGUUUUGCAAAGCCUGAAUGGAAGUCUCCUUUUCAUAUCUCCUCAUCUUCCAAGCAGAUUUUCUUAGCUAAGUAGGUCUGAACACACUGCAAGCUGAUUUUAAGUUGAGGCAGAGCAACCGUGAGGAGACUGUUCCUGGGAGGGUUAGUGGUGGCUUCUUCUGGCGGGAAGCAGCCACCAGGAAGGGCCUGGACGGGGUAGGAAGAGGCAAGGGAGGUGGGCGCAGGCGUGAGGCGCUGAGAGUCAGCUAAGGACACAGAGCCCUCUCCAUCAGUGCUGAGCUGGGGACACAGAGCCCCCUCCAUCAGGCCUGAGCUGUGGACACAGAGCCCCCUCUAUCGGGCACAGGGCCCCCUCCAAGGGGGCUGAGCUGUAGACACAGAGCCCCCUCCAUUGGGGCUGGGCUGUGGACACAGAGGCCCUUCCAUCGGGGCUGAGUCUCGGGCUCUGUGGGGCCCAGGACCCUCCCCGUUAGCCUCCCACCUUCUGCUUCUGUGACUCCCCAAGUCUCCGUGUAAGACUGACCAUCAGUUGCCAUUUGCUGAAACAUCAGGGUUCCCACAGCUUUCAGCACGCUGGGCAGCAGGGCUUGGAGCUGGCACCUCCCUGGAGUGUAGUGACGCGUGGUGGCCUGACCUCCGCUUGCUGCCCAGGUCACUGAAUGCACACACACAGCUGCAGGGGCACGGAGCCCGCGGGGGAGGGGAUGCGGCCUCCAUGGGCCUGAGGGCUGCCACAUGCCUGGGGCCAUGUGGCUGAGAGCGGCCACCCGUGGAGGGUGCAGGGGGUGGGCCCUUUCACUGUGUUCUUGCAUCUCGGCGCCGGUUCUGUCUUUUGCAGCAAGCACGAGUUAUUGCUGCAACAAGCCCGUGAGUAUCGAAUGUUGGAGUCCCUGCCGGUGGGGAGGCCCAGGCGCAGAGCGAGGGGCCUCUGUAGAUGCAAAGGCCAGGCUGUGAGACCCUCCCAGGCUUCGUGCUUGGAGGAGGCGCCUCCCCUGGUGUCGAGGAGGCUGAGCGUGUGGUGCUGCCUGAGCCUGUGUCUCCGGCCAGCCGCUCCCAGCCUCAGAGAUGCUCAGAGCCGCCCAGCCUCAGAGGUGCUCAGGGCCGCCCAGCCUCAGAGGUGCUCAGGGCCGCCCAGCCUCAGAGGUGCUCAGGGCCGCCCAGCCUCAGAGGUGCUCAGGGCCGCCCAGCCUCAGAGGUGCUCAGGGCCGCCCAGCCUCAGAGGUGCUCAGUGCUGCCUGUCUGUUGGGCGAGUCACUGGGUGGUUCUGUCUGUAACAGCCGUCAGGCUCUUUGAAGAGUCAAAUGACCUGGUCUCUGCUGAGGCCAGGGGUGGGCUCCUGGCCAGGUGCCAGGCCUGCUGUGUCACUGAUUGUCCAGCUGACAGAAAGGAGGGGUCGUGACAAGACAGCAGUGGCAUCCCCCGAGCUCGUCCCCCUGUUUGGUGACGGGUGCCCUCAGUGCCCGGGCGGGUGGGCCAGGCGGGGCUCCGGGUGGCUCCUCCCUGCUGACCGUGUGAUGAGCUGCAGCCCGGGCCGCCUCCCGACUCACGCCAGCGGCACCCCCUGUGGGGAGCUGGGUCGGUCCUUCGUGGCCAGAACGUGUGCACCUGUAGGAAGCGGGAAGGGCGACGCUCGGGCGUCUCGGCCGGAUCUGCCUUCCAAGGCUCGUCUAACAGCGCCACGGGGGAGGCUGCCUGGGGACCCCGGAGUCGUGUGCAGCCUCAGUUUUGAACCCACCACCUGCUGACAGAAACUGAAUCUGGGAUUAUGAACACAGGUGAGGCGUAAACAGAGGAUUGUUUCCUAGAUGAGCUGGUCUGAGCCUUGAGCUUUAAACAAACUGGUAAACUUUGCUUUCGUUAGUGCAAAAAGCCUGGAUUGGUGAGAGCUUGAAGACACCUAGAAAUCCUCCUCUGAGGAGGAUCAAAAACGUUCCCAGUAGCCGCGGGAGCCCCUGGGGUUGACCAGCUGCUUUAACACUUGUGGCGUUGGUUUCAGCUUCAAGGACAGGCCAGGUGAGCAGUGACCUGUGAGGCCGUCCCCAGCCAAGACACUAGCACGUGGACUUGGGCUCAUCUCCUGAGGUCAGCAGAGCCAGAAGGCCCAUCUCUGCAGGCUCCCGACCCCAGGCUGCAGUGCAGUUUGUCUCUCUGUGGGCGUGACAUACUGUAGUUUAAAAAAUUUUAAAACCUGACUCUCACGCAGAUGCAGAAUGAACAAGUGUCAAAUAUUUAUGCUCUCAUUAACGAGGGAAUCAGAGAGUCAAGUUUUCCAAGAGCUUUUUAAGGACCUGGUGUCCACAGCCGCUGAGGGGUGUGUGCAGGGCUGCAGGGCUGGACACAAAGCUGGUGUGUGUCCCUCGGUGUCUUGUGGGAGGAAGUUAUUUGCCCCUUUGCCAGUAAAGCUCUGAGCCCACAGUGACUCUGCAGCCCGACUCUGUGACCCACAGGGCGCUGGGCCCAGGUGAAGGCCUGGGGGGCUGGGCAAAGGGACAGGCUGACGGUGGGGUCUCACCUCACGCUCUCUGGCCAGAUCUCCAAGUCUGGGGUAUUUUUUUCAACACAGAUGGUGCUAUCCUCUCUGAGAAGAGGCCACCGUACUAUCAGACAACGUGGUGUGUCCUCAGGUAGCGUUUAGCCUGCUCUGGCUGGUGACUGGAGCCGUGACUCCAGGUAACGGGGAAGCUGGCUCACAGGCCUGAUCCCCUCGUGAGCCCCCUGGGGUCAGUGCCCACCCCGGACACCUGGCGGAGGGGCCUGCAGGUGCCCCUGAGGACCACCCAUCCUCAGAGCGGGCCUGCUUCCCGAACAGUUCUUUAUCUGACGCUUAGUGGAGAGCGAGCCUCCCGCUGGAGUUUCUGUUCGGAAGCCAAGAAUAGACUGUAGGCUGUUGCACCUGUAAGGCGGAUUCCAGGUGGUGAGUCUGGUCCCACUCUCAGACCCCACAGGCCGUGGCGCCCACCUUGGCAGCUCCAUCCCUGGUGGGGUGCUGUGGGAUUUGCUGGUGUUUGGUGCUCAGGGACCCUCAGACCUGGAGGCGGGCCCUCCCAAUCAGGGCAGGUAGCGCUGUGUCCCCUGAGGAGGCCCGUCUGUCCUCUGUCCCGGGCACGUGGGCCGGGCAACACCCUGGUACUUACUUAGCCACCGACCCCCCACCCUUCCCCGCUGCAACUCGUGAAGCCCAAGGUUGCAAGCAGCCUGUUUGCUUGAUGAGGACAUUUCCCGGGAGCUGAGCAGGGUGGGGUAACUGGUCUCCAAACAGCCGGCUUCCAGGUGACCGUCCCGGGUGAGUGAGGACAAGGGUCUGCGCUCAGUGGGGGCGGCACUCUCUCCAGAAUACGGCGCGGGCCUUCCUCCCGGCCAGGGUGCUGGGCUCUGGGACGUGUGUGAGUCGUGCUCCACGUGAAGUCACAUCUUCUCCUGCUCUUUAUCGAGAGAGGCAGGGCAAGCCACCGAUUAGUUACGGCUGCUGCUGCUGCCAGACGCUCUGUGGUCAUGGAGGACAGAGCCGAGCCCGGCCUGGACGCCCUCCGUCCCUCGGCCCCCGAGGCGUGGAGGCCGGUGUUCUGGUGCCGAGAAUGAGCUCAUGCCGUCCAGGGAUUUAACAGAGCAGAUGACUGGCUGCCCUUGUGCUCAACGCACGUGCGGUUUCCAAGUGUCGGGGACCACGGCGUUGCACAGGGACCUCACGGGUGAACAGCCCAGAUGGGCUGCAGGGCCCUGUGUGCGGAUCGAGGUCAUCUUUGUGAACUGGAGAGGACUUGACAAUCACUGAGCGUCGUGACGGUGCUGGAAACCCCAGGGCUGUGGUGUCUGAGGGCUGCGGCGUUCCCGGGGGCGGUGGGGGCCCAGCCACCUCUUGAGAGUUGCGCUUUGAGCACUUUCAUCACACUAUUUUGCUUUCAUCCCCGUUUUGCAGACGGGGGUGUGAGGCUCAGAGAGGGUGAGCAUCUCGCCUGGUGUCAGAGGCAGACGCGGUUGAGCUGAGCUGGAGUCCGGUUCAGCGUCGCUCCGGUCUCGCGGUGACCCCAGGGCCGUGGGGGAGGGCGUGGAUGAGCUCCUGCCAUCUCUCGUGUUGGGAGACAUCGCCGUGUCUCUGCUGGGGAGCGUGUCCUGUUCCUGACGGGUCCACGUUGUCCGCUCAGUGCUGAGAUCGCCUGCUCUCCGUGUGACACCUUUAGAAAGCAGUUGUUCCCCGAGCGUGCGGCCUAUGUCCUGUUCACAGCUUCUCCAGCUGAGGGGCACCUGGGGUGUGUCUGCUCUUCGGCUGCUGUGAGUGAUGCUGGUGUGAAUGUUGGUGUGUUUGCUGUGUCCGUCGUACUUCCUGCGUGUUCCCAUAAACACGGCUGUGUCAUUUUUCAGCUACGGUUAAUUGUUUCAGAAGUGCAUUUUGAAAAUAU
ensembl:lncRNA